GACGAACGCUGGCGGCGUGCCUAACACAUGCAAGUCAACUUGACUGAAGGAGCAAUCUGACAGUAGAGUGGCGCAAGGGUGCGUAACGCGUAAGUAACUUGCCCAAGGUAAGGAAUAACGUCGAGAAAUCGGCGCUAAUACCUCAUAAUGCAGCGGAUCCGCAUGGAUAUGUUGUUAAUGGUUUACCGCCUUGGGAUAGGCUUGCGUCUGAUUAGCUAGUUGGUGUGGUAACGGCACACCAAGGCUACGAUCAGUAACUGGUCUGAGAGGAUGAUCAGUCACACUGGAACUGAGACACGGUCCAGACUCCUACGGGAGGCAGCAGUGAGGAAUAUUGGGCAAUGCUCGAAAGAGUGACCCAGCAACGCCGCGUGGAGGAUGAAGGUAUUCUAUAUCGUAAACUCCUGUGAGAGCAGACGAAAGACAGAUUAUUAAUCUGGAUGACCGUAUGACUCAGAGGAAGCCCCGGC
rnacentral:rRNA from 1 species